rnacentral:tRNA from 4 species
CGGGACGUGGCUCAGCUUGGUAGAGCACCUGGUUUGGGACCAGGGGGUCGCAGGUUCAAAUCCUGUCGUCCCGACCA